GAGGGCGCUUUGGCUUUGGCAGCGGUCCAAGUUCCUUGGAACAGGACGUCACAGAGGGUGAGAAUCCCGUACGUGGUCGCUAGCUAUUGCCGUGUAAAGCCCCUUCGACGAGUCGAGUUGUUUGGGAAUGCAGCUCUAAAUGGGAGGUAAAUUUCUUCUAAAGCUAAAUAUUGGCCAGAGACCGAUAGCGCACAAGUAGAGUGAUCGAAAGAUGAAAAGCACUUUGGAAAGAGAGUCAAACAGCACGUGAAAUUGUUGAAAGGGAAGCGCUUGCAGCCAGACUUGCUUGCAGUUGCUCAUCCGGGCUUUUGCCCGGUGCACUCUUCUGCAGGCAGGCCAGCAUCAGUUUGGGCGGUGGGAUAAAGGUCUCUGACACGUUCCUCUCUUCGGGGAGGCCAUAUAGGGGAGACGUCAUACCACCAGCCUGGACUGAGGUCCGCGCAUCUGCUAGGAUGCUGGCGUAAUGGCUGUAAGCGGCCCGUCU
rnacentral:rRNA from 1 species